GCAAUUUAGGUGCUUCCUUCAUUGUGUCUAACCGUUGAAGUUUACUUCCUGUGUGCCUGCAAGCUCUCUGUGCUCAUCUGCUGAGGAGAAUGAGAAAUGUAACCACCACCACCCAUAAGAGGAGCAUUGUAUCUGUGGCUGUGCAAAAGGAAGGAUGAGGAAAGAAGUCUUCUCUGGAGCGGAACUUUCCAUCUGUGAGGGUUUCUCAGAUGGGGUCCUACCCUGAGGCGAAGGGGCUGGAAGUGUAACCAAAACAAAGCAGCACAGAGACAGCAGAGACAAAGGAAGAGGAAAAGCUGGCACAGUGAGAGGAAACAAAGGAAGGGCCAGCGUGAGCAAGGAGUGGAUACAGGUCAGGUCUGUUUCAUACGUGAAGCCCCCACCUCAAGGAGGGAAAAAUAAUCAUCCCUCAAUUCCAUGGGAGUCUGAUUCCAAGCCCUGCCGUGGAUGCCAAAAUCAGUGGAUGCUCAAGUCUGUUAUGUAACAUGGCAUAGUGUUCCAUAUAACCUGCAUGCACCUUCCCAUAUAUUUUAAAUCAUCUCUAGGUUAUUUAUAAUAUCUAAUACAAUGUAGAUGUUGUGUAAACAGUUGCUCAGUAUUGUUUAGGGAAUAAUGACAAAGAAACAAGUCUGUACGUGUUCAGUAGUGACAGCUUUUUUCUUGAGUAAUUCCAAUAACUGGUUGAUUAAGUCUUGAAUGUAGAACCUGUGAAUGGAAAAAAUAACUGUACUCAAACUUGAGUACAAUCUCCUCUUCAUCAAAAUGAAUUUGUCAUGGUACACUUUCAAAGAUCAGCCUCUAGUAAUAUCUUAAAGCCAGACCUUUAUGGGGAGACUUAUAAAACUUUAAUGAAAGUUAUUAAAGAAUUCUUAAAGAGACAUAUGAUCCCUGAGAGAAAGUCUGAAUAUUGCAAUAUUAAUUUUCUCAAAUAAGACUCUCUCAGUUGUAGAUUCAAUGUAAUUCUAA